AGUUCCGAACCCGUCGGCU
rnacentral:snRNA from 1 species